AGUGAACGCUGGCGGUAGGCCUAACACAUGCAAGUCGAACGGCAGCACAGUAAGAGCUUGCUCUUACGGGUGGCGAGUGGCGGACGGGUGAGGAAUACAUCGGAAUCUACUUUUUCGUGGGGGAUACCGUAGGGAAACUUACGCUAAUACCGCAUACGACCUACGGGUGAAAGCAGGGGAUCUUCGGACCUUGCGCGAUUGAAUGAGCCGAUGUCGGAUUAGCUAGUUGGCGGGGUAAAGGCCCACAAAGGCGACGAUCCGUAGCUGGUCUGAGAGGAUGAUCAGCCACACUGGAACGGAGACACGGUCCAGACUCCUACGGGAGGCGGCAGUGGGGAAUAUUGGACAAUGAGCGCAAGCCUGAUCCAGCCAUACCGCGUGGGUGAAGAAGGCCUUCGGGUGGUAAAGCCCUUUUGUUGGGAAAGAAAAGCAGCAGGUUAAUACCCCGCUGUUCUGACGGUACCCAAAGAAUAAGCACCGGCUAACUUCGUG
rnacentral:rRNA from 1 species